rnacentral:rRNA from 1 species
GUGAGGAAUAUUGGUCAAUGGGCGGGAGCCUGAACCAGCCAAGUCGCGUGAAGGAAGAAGGAUCUAUGGUUCGUAAACUUCUUUUGCAGGGGAAUAAAGUGCAGGACGUGUCCUGUUUUGUAUGUACCCUGAGAAUAAGGAUCGGCUAACUCCGUGCCAGCAGCCGCGGUAAUACGGAGGAUCCGAGCGUUAUCCGGAUUUAUUGGGUUUAAAGGGUGCGUAGGUGGUUUGAUAAGUCAGCGGUGAAAGUUUGCAGCUUAACUGUAAAAAUGCCGUUGAAACUGUCGGACUUGAGUGUAAAUGAGGUAGGCGGAAUGCGUGGUGUAGCGGUGAAAUGCAUAGAUAUCACGCAGAACUCCGAUUGCGAAGGCAGCUUACCAAGCUACAACUGACACUGAAGCACGAAAGCGUGGGGAUCAAACAGGAUUAGAAACCCUGGUAGUCC